rnacentral:tRNA from 1 species
GCGCAAGUGGCGAAAUCGGCAUACGCGCCAGACUUAGGAUCUGGUGCCUUCGGGCGUGCGGGUUCGAGUCCCGCCUUGCGCA